AUACGUAGGGGGCGAGCGUUGUCCGGAAUGAUUGGGCGUAAAGGGCGCGUAGGCGGCCCGGUAAGUCUGGAGUGAAAGUCCUGUUUUUAAGAUGGGAAUUGCUUUGGAUACUGUCGGGCUUGAGUGCAGGAGAGGUAAGUGGAAUUCCCAGUGUAGCGGUGAAAUGCGUAGAGAUUGGGAGGAACACCAGUGGCGAAGGCGACUUACUGGACUGUAACUGACGCUGAGGCGCGAAAGUGUGGGGAGCAAACAGGAUUAGAUACCCUGGUAGUCCACACUGUAAACGAUGAAUGCUAGGUGUAGGGGGUAUCGACCCCUUCUGUGCCGCAGUCAACACAAUAAGCAUUCCGCCUGGGGAGUACGGCCGCCAGGUUGAAACUCAAAUGAAUUGACGGGG
rnacentral:rRNA from 1 species